rnacentral:rRNA from 1 species
AGGGCACCACCAGGAGUGGAGCCUGCGGCUUAAUUUGACUCAACACGGGGAAACUCACCCGGCCCGGACACUGGAAGGAUUGACAGAUUGAGAGCUCUUUCUUGAUUCAGUGGGUGGUGGUGCAUGGCCGUUCUUAGUUGGUGGAGUGAUUUGUCUGGUUAAUUCCGAUAACGAACGAGACUCUAGCCUACUAAAUAGACCUCGGCAUUCUUUGUACUGUCGAGGCGCUUCUUAGAGGGACAGGCGGCGUUUCAGCCGCAUGAGAAAGAGCAAUAACAGGUCUAUGAUGCCCUUAGAUGUCCGGGGCCACACGCGCGCUACACUGAAGAGAUCAGCGUGCAUGUGCUUCCUACUCCGAAAGGAGCGGGAAACCGAGUGAACCUUUUUCGUGCUUGGGAUUGGGGAUUGUAAUUAUUCUCCAUGAACGAGGAAUUCCCAGUAAGCACAAGUCAUCAGCUUGUGUUGAUUACGUCCCUGCCCUUUGUACACACCGCCCGUCGCUACUACCGAUUGGAUGUU